UCCAUCAUGGUGUAGUGGCUAACAUUAUCGCCUCUCAUAUGUUUAAAAUGUUGAAGAGCGCGAUAGCCCAGGGUUCGAUUCCCUGUGAUGGAA